rnacentral:tRNA from 2 species
GGGGUCAGGGUCUGCUAGGAGUGGACACCUCGCUUGCACCGAGGAUAGCAGCAGAGUUCGAAUCUCUGUGACUCCACCA